UUACCACUCUGGCCUUAUGGCUUAGAUCAAGUGUAGUAUCUGUUCUUAAUAGUUUAACCACUAUUAUGGAAGUAUUGCUUCCAUUACUGGUUAUCUAAUUUUUAUUGCCCUAGUUCCUUGUGCCUCUGCUUGCAUGCCUUGGGCGUGAUGACUCUGCUGCUGCACUCAUGGCUUAUGUUGUCGGGGGUCC
rnacentral:snRNA from 1 species